rnacentral:rRNA from 1 species
AACGAACGCUGGCGCCAGGCUUAACACAUGCAAGUCGAGCGCCCCGCAAGGGGAGCGGCUGCCGGGUGAGUAACGCGUGGGAACGUACCCUUAUCUUCGGGAUAGCCCCGGGAAACUGGAAUUAAUACCGAAUGUGCCCUUUGGGGGAAAGAUUUAUCGGAUAAGGAUCGGCCCGCGUUGGAUUAGCUAGUUGGUGGGGUAAAGGCCUACCAAGGCGACGAUCCAUAGCUGGUCUGAGAGGAUGAUCAGCCACAUUGGGACUGAGACACGGCCCAAACUCCUACGGGAGGCAGCAGUGGGGAAUAUUGGACAAUGGGCGCAAGCCUGAUCCAGCCAUGCCGCGUGAGUGAUGAAGGCCUUAGGGUUGUAAAGCUCUUUCACCGGAGAAGAUAAUGACGGUAUCCGGAGAAGAAGCCCCGGCUAACUUCGUG